UACGUAGGGUGCAAGCGUUGUCCGGAUUCAUUGGGCGUAAAGGGUGCGUAGGCGGUCGUGCAAGUCGGAUGUGAAAUCUCAGGGCUCAACCCUGAAACUGCAUUCGAUACUGCGUGGCUAGAGUGCUGGAGAGGAGACUGGAAUUUACGGUGUAGCAGUGAAAUGCGUAGAUAUCGUAAGGAAGACCAGUGGCGAAGGCGAGUCUCUGGACAGCAACUGACGCUGAGGCACGAAGGCCAGGGGAGCAAACGGG
rnacentral:rRNA from 1 species